CAGAAAAUGUAACUUUUACUAUCAGAUAAAGACAUGAAGGUAUACAUUUGUUCUGUUUUACAAGAACAGGUUCAGUUUAAAAGCAAACAGUUACAGGCAGUAGUAUAACUUAGUGUACUUAUAUUCACACAGUCAUAAAUAAACACUCCAUUUUUAAAAUAAAUUUUUACCUUGCUGUGGUAAAAUUGCAUGUGGUUUUUUGCACUAGAUAAGCCCUCUGUAAUAAAAAUCAAACAAUACAGUAAGUUAAAUAGUAUAUACAUAUAAAGCAAAAAUAAUAAAUAUAUACCAAAAAGAGUUUGGUAUAUAUUUUAAAACAAAGUCACCAUUAAAAAGUGUUUUCAUAAAGUUAAUCCCAUUAUCUCCAAAUAUACAUAUACCAAACUCCAUUUUUAAAAUAAAAGUUACCAUUUAAAAAAAAGUUUUAAUACAAAUUAAACUUCGUAUAUACCCUACAAGUCUGAAAGAGGCCCUAUUCUUUAAAAAGACCUUACAAAAUUAAACCCCACAUCCACAGCCCAAACUGAGUGUUAACAGACAGAGACCAGGCUCCACAGGUAUGGAACAGCACAUGCUCCCAACAUGCACACAAAGUCUGAUGUUUCGCACCAUAUAAGAGGAACAGGGGCAGGGCUUCUGGUUCCAAGAUGGCAGCUAGUUCCAAGAUGGUGGCAGGGGCAUGUGAAAUUGAUAGGCUGUGUACCCUAUAUACUACUACCAUGUCAUCUGGCCCAUAGGGCUCCCUAUGGGUCAGGAAAUUUGACAUGAGGAAGUGGUGCCACCGCUACCCCACAUGCCCUAUAUGGACAGAUCAGGCCUGAUUCUUGUUCCAAAGAAUCAUUUAUGACUGUACUUCAAUGGGACAGAAGAAGCCAGAUGUUUCUGGAAGCUGGGAAAGUUUUAGGCAUUGGAGAUGAGUAAGUGGUUGGGAAAAGGUAUGCCAUACAUGGUGAGGGGGUUGUGAUGACUGUGAAACUGAAGUGAAGCUGGGUCUGCUCAUAACAAUUAAACUACAAAAUAUUAAUGACAAAUGCAUAGUGCAAAGAGAUGUAAGUUUGCAGCUGGGCUUUUCUGAAAAGAAAUAAUGAGGUGUCACUUGUAGCUUAUCUUAUUAUACCUGUCCUGAUUUUAAGCAGGCUCCUAUGUGUCUGGUAUUUGCUGUGUUAAAUGUCUAUCCUUGAUUAAUUACUAUGGUAAAUAUUUCUUUAUAAUUAACCCAUGUUUAUGUGCAGGAGGAGACAUUUUCCAUAUGGGGCUUGAUAGUUGUCUCCUUCUGAUUAACUCGUGUUUUGCCUCAAUGGUUCCCUUGAUCUUCCAAGGACAACUCUUCAAAAAUGCUUUGUCUUUCUCCCAGUUGUUAAUCAAUUUCCUGAUAUGUUCCAAAUCAGUAGAGACUGAUACUCAGUAACAAGAGGUUAAGGUAAUUCAGUCAAAAUUGGGACUUUCCAAUAACAAAUAACAAAUAGUUGAAAACAGGAUCUUCCUGUUUGUUAUUGCUUGGGGCUUUUUUAUUUUUUUUUUUACUCAACUACAAAAAUGCUUUGAAAACAUUGAGCUAAAGGGUAUAAAAAAGGAAUGAAGCAGCUAACAGGGCAUGCUUCAAGAGUGAGAAAUCAUUCAAGACAAGAACUGCUACUGAGUUCAGCUGAACUUCCAGUGACGGAUCCACACCUUGAGAAUCUGAAAAGACCAAGACUGCCUCUUUGCCUGUACUGGAUAUGGCUCAGAUACUGCCUUGCAAAUACAUCACAUCCAUCAAAGAACCAUUACACACCAUUUCCGUUCUGCCCAUCUCUGACAAUUGACCAAGCAGAAGAUUAAGAUCCUCUAGCACUUGAUCAAAAUGGGAGGGGGUGAAUGUUGUGUUGGUCAUCAACAUCCCUCUUAGCAAAACAAGUCCCAAGGUCCAAGGCUGCAGAAUCAAAGGCCAGCCUAACCUUCUGUGUAACACCAGCCACAAAGUUUCACCUAGCAAGUCUUGUAUCUACCCUAGUAUGAACAAGAGCAUAUCCUUUUGAAGGACAGCUUAUCUUGAUUUAUAGACUCCAAGUGAUGGAGACUUCACCAUGUUCCUAGAUAACCUGUUCUAAUGAUUAAUUAUUCUUGCUGUUACACAUGUUUCUGCUGGGAUGGGCUCAUUACUUACCUGUUCUGAACAGGUCUUUCAUGUCCUUCCCUUAGGCUGGAAAGAAAUCAGUACUCCCAUUGUUGCUUUCCCCUGGGUAUUUUUCCUUUCUGUUUAUCUGUAACAGCCUCUGGGCACGUCUAGGUUUAAAGAGGUUUGCUGGCAUAGUUAUAUUGACAAACUCUUCUAAUAAAGAUGUAGCUUAGUCUGGCAAGGGAGUCCUCCUGUUUAAACCAGUUUCCUGAACAGAAUAAGCUGUACAGGUAAAAGGAAUGUGUUGCCAGUAUCACUGUGUCUACAUAUUGGUAUCUGUUGGCUUUCCCAUGUCAGUUAAGUAUACAACUUUCUCAUACUCCUAACCAAUAUAGUUGUGCCAGAAAAAUAAAAAGUGUAUACUGAGCCUCUAUAAUAGCUGCAAUAAGCAUGUGGCUCCUUUGCUAAAGUGCUACCAUAAGCUGAUGUAGCUGUCACCUAAUAGAGAGGAGUGCGAUGGAGUCAUGUGGUAUGUUCUUCCUGCUUGAAGGCUCAACAAAUACCCAGAGGUGUGUAGAGUGGUGAUCUGCAUCCAGAGCUAAUUCUGGCUUACAUGUUUCACUGUCUCCCCCAGCUGAUGCUCUGCCUCUGAGCUUA